GGGGAAUAUUGCACAAUGGGCGCAAGCCUGAUGCAGCGACGCCGCGUGCGGGAUGACGGCCUUCGGGUUGUAAACCGCUUUCAGCAGGGAAGAAGCGCAAGUGACGGUACCUGCAGAAGAAGCGCCGGCUAACUACGUGCCAGCAGCCGCGGUAAUACGUAGGGCGCAAGCGUUGUCCGGAAUUAUUGGGCGUAAAGAGCUCGUAGGCGGUCUGUCGCGUCUGCUGUGAAAACCUCAGGCUCAACCUGGGGCUUGCAGUGGGUACGGGCAGACUAGAGUGCGGUAGGGGUGACUGGAAUUCCUGGUGUAGCGGUGGAAUGCGCAGAUAUCAGGAGGAACACCGAUGGCGAAGGCAGGUCACUGGGCCGCAACUGACGCUGAGGAGCGAAAGCAUGGGGAGCGAAC
rnacentral:rRNA from 1 species